rnacentral:rRNA from 1 species
UCCUACGGGAGGCAGCAGUAGGGAAUCUUCCGCAAUGGACGAAAGUCUGACGGAGCAACGCCGCGUGAGUGAUGAAGGCUUUCGGGUCGUAAAACUCUGUUGUUAGGGAAGAACAAGUGCCAGUUGAAUAAGCUGGCACCUUGACGGUACCUAACCAGAAAGCCACGGCUAACUACGUGCCAGCAGCCGCGGUAAUACGUAGGUGGCAAGCGUUGUCCGGAAUUAUUGGGCGUAAAGCGCUCGCAGGCGGUCUUUUAAGUCUGAUGUGAAAGCCUACGGCUUAACCGUGGAGGGUCAUUGGAAACUGGAGGACUUGAGUACAGAAGAGGAGAGUGGAAUUCCACGUGUAGCGGUGAAAUGCGUAGAGAUGUGGAGGAACACCAGUGGCGAAGGCGACUCUCUGGUCUGUAACUGACACUGAGGCGCGAAAGCGUGGGGAGCAAACAGGAUUAGAUACCCUGGUAGUCCACGCCGUAAACGAUGAGUGCUAAGUGUUAGAGGGUUUCCGCCCUUUAGUGCUGAAGUUAACGCAUUAAGCACUCCGCCUGGGGAGUACGGCCGCAAGGCUGAAACUCAAAGGAAUUGACGGA